AUUGAACGCUGGCGGCAUGCCUUACACAUGCAAGUCGAACGGUAACGCGGGGCAACCUGGCGACGAGUGGCGAACGGGUGAGUAAUGUAUCGGAACGUGCCCAGUUGUGGGGGAUAACUGCUCGAAAGAGCAGCUAAUACCACAUACGACCUGAGGGUGAAAGCGGGGGAUCGCAAGACCUCGCGCAAUUGGAGCGGCCGAUAUCAGAUUAGGUAGUUGGUGGGGUAAAGGCCCACCAAGCCAACGAUCUGUAGCUGGUCUGAGAGGACGACCAGCCACACUGGGACUGAGACACGGCCCAGACUCCUACGGGAGGCAGCAGUGGGGAUUUUUGGACAAUGGACGCAAGUCUGAUCCAGCCAUGCCGCGUGCGGGAAGAAGGCCUUCGGGUUGUAAACCGCUUUUGUCAGGGAAGAAACGCUCUGGGUUAAUACCUCGGGGUAAUGACGGUACCUGAAGAAUAAGCACCGGCUAACUACGUGCCAGCCGCCGCAGUAACAC
rnacentral:rRNA from 1 species